GACUACUAGGGUAUCUAAGCCUGUUUGCUCCCCACGCUUUCGUGCCUCAGCGUCAGUGCUGGUCCAGAUGGCCGCCUUCGCCACGGAUGUUCCUCCCGAUCUCUACGCAUUUCACCGCUACACCGGGAAUUCCGCCAUCCUCUACCGCACUCUAGUCCACCAGUAUCGGAUGCAGUUCCCAGGUUGAGCCCGGGGCUUUCACAUCCGACUGAGUGAACCAUCUACGCACGCUUUACGCCCAGUAAUUCCGAUUAACGCUUGCACCCUUCGUAUUACCGCGGCUGCUGGCACGAAGUUAGCCGGUGCUUAUUCCUCAGGUACCGUCAGCACGCAAGGUUAUUAACCCUACGCUUUUCGUUCCUGAUAAAAGUGCUUUACAACCCGAAGGCCUUCUUCACACACGCGGCAUUGCUGGAUCAGGCUUGCGCCCAUUGUCCAAUAUUCCCCACUGCAGCCCCCCGUAGG
rnacentral:rRNA from 1 species